GACGAACGCUGGCGGCGUGCCUAACACAUGCAAGUCAACUUGACUGAAGGAGCAAUCUGACAGUAGAGUGGCGCAAGGGUGCGUAACGCGUAAGUAACUUGCCCAAGGUAAGGAAUAACGUCGAGAAAUCGGCGCUAAUACCUCAUAAUGCAGCGGAUCCGCAUGGAUAUGUUGUUAAAGGUUUACCGCCUUGGGAUAGGCUUGCGUCUGAUUAGCUAGUUGGUGUGGUAACGGCACACCAAGGCUACGAUCAGUAACUGGUCUGAGAGGAUGAUCAGUCACACUGGAACUGAGACACGGUCCAGACUCCUACGGGAGGCAGCAGUGAGGAAUAUUGGGCAAUGCUCGAAAGAGUGACCCAGCAACGCCGCGUGGAGGAUGAAGGUAUUCUAUAUCGUAAACUCCUGUGAGAGCAGACGAAGGACAGAUUAUUAAUCUGGAUGACUGUAUGCUCAGAGGAAGCCCCGGCUAACUACGU
rnacentral:rRNA from 1 species